GAUGAACGCUGGCGGCGUGCUUAACACAUGCAAGUCGAACGGAAAGGCCCUGCUUUUGUGGGGUGCUCGAGUGGCGAACGGGUGAGUAAAACGUGAGUAACCUGCCCUUGACUUUGGGAUAAAUUCAGGAAACAGGGGCUAUUACCGGAUAGGAGCUACUGAUGCAUGGGGGGGGUUGGAAAGAUUCGGCGGUGGGGGCUGGUCUCGCGGCUUAUCAGCUUGUUGGUGGGGUAGUGGCUUACCAAGGCUACGACGGGUAGGCGGCCUGAGAGGGUGAACGGGCACAUUGGGACUGCGGUACGGCGCAGUCUGCUACGUUCGGCAGAAGUGGGGAACAUUGCACAGUGAGCCGGCGUCAGUGACGGCGACCCCGCGUGCGUGAUGACCUCUUUCUGGUUGUGAACCGCUUUCGCCUUUGACGAAGCGGUAGUGACGGUAACGAGUAAAGAAGCACCGGCUAACUACGUG
rnacentral:rRNA from 1 species